AUUGAACGCUGGCGGCAGGCUUAAUACAUGCAAGUCGAACGAGUGGCGGACGGGGGGGCAAGGCUGGGGAAUCUAGCUUACGGACGGGGAUAACUACGGGAAACUGUAGCAAAUACCGCGCACUAUAGGAUGAGCCCAAGUGGGAUUGGGUAGUGGGUGAGCUAAAGGCGGCCCAAGCCGACGAUCUCUAGCUGGUCUGAGAGGAUGACCAGCCACACUGGGACGGAGACACGGCCCAGACUCCGACGGGAGGCAGCAGUGGGGAAUAUUGGGCAAUGGGGGAAAGCUGACCGAGCCAAGCCGCGUGAAUGAAGAAGGCUUUCGGGUUGUAAAGUUCUUUCGGUAGCGAAGCGUUAACUAAACAGAAAGCAACGGCUAACUCCGUGCCAGCAGCCGCGGUAAUUC
rnacentral:rRNA from 1 species